UGCACACAUACAUCACACAUGUUUUAAAGUGACUUGAUAAUUAAUAUUGUUACACUUGAGAAAAAUCCUGGCUCUCCAUGGAGAAGUCAUGUCAUGAGUCAGAAGAGUGCAGGCUGAGGCAUGCCCUCCACUGAAUGGCUUGUCUGCACUCUGAAAGCCAAGUGAACCAACCAUUCCAUCCGUAUGAAGAGCGUAAGUCCUAGAUUUGCGUCGUGAUGUCAUCUCAGGUGCCACUGCUAUCUGUUCUGAGGUUCACUCUGUUCAGCAGCCUUGGACUCUUCAUGGAGUAACAGAUUGGUAUAACUACAGCCUUGAGCCUCACUUGAACCACCACAGCCUCUUCUGAACAGCCAGCAGUCCUUGAAGUCUCAGAGUCUUUUAACCAAAGGGUGUGGAUGUUUCCUUAUUGAUAUCAUCAAAGAUCUAGUGUAUCAAGAUGACAAACUUUGCUCCCUGUUGGGCCAAAAAGAGACAUAAAAUUUAAAACAACAACAACAAAACAAAACAAACAAAACAACAACGAUAAAAAACAGCCCUCUUCUUUUAGCAACUGUAGUACUGCACCAGGGAAGAGGUGGUCAUCAACUAUGAAGGAAUCCAGACCUUUAAUCCUGUAGAGCUUCCAAGUAAGGAUAAUGGGUCAACUACAACCUUCUUCCUAGGAUAUGUCGACGUGCACGGCAUUAGGAAAAUCUGCUCUUUAAAUUAAAAUACAAACUCAUGA
rnacentral:lncRNA from 1 species